AAUGCACAAUAAGACAUGUUUUUGCCUUGUGUCACUGAGCAUUAUCUUCACUUCAAAGAUAAUGUAGCGCUGAUUUUCUGAAAUUAAUCUAAGAACUGUAACCUCAGAAAGAUGGAAUGAUAGAAUGAUGGAAUGAUGGAAUGAUGGAAGUGCUGUGGCCGCACUGAGGUUUCUGCACCUGCCACCCACUGCCUGCUCACCUUUUCUCCAGGUGAGUGCAAAGUCAU
rnacentral:lncRNA from 1 species